rnacentral:rRNA from 1 species
GACGAACGCUGGCGGCGUGCUUAACACAUGCAAGUCGAACGGAAAGGCCCUGCUUUUGUGGGGUGCUCGAGUGGCGAACGGGUGAGUAACACGUGAGUAACCUGCCCUUGACUUUGGGAUAACUUCAGGAAACUGGGGCUAAUACCGGAUAGGAGCUCCUGCUGCAUGGUGGGGGUUGGAAAGUUUCGGCCGUUGGGGAUGGACUCGCGGCUUAUCAGCUUGUUGGUGGGGGAGUGGCUUACCAAGGCUUUGACGGGUAGCCGGCCUGAGAGGGUGACCGGGCACAUUGGGACUGAGGGACGGCCCAGACUCCUACGGGAGGCAGCAGUGGGGAAUAUUGCACAAUGGGCGGAAGCCUGAUGAAGCAACGCCGCGUGCGGGAUGACGGCCUUCGGGUUGUAAACCGCUUUCGCCUGUGACGAAGCGUGAGUGACGGUAAUGGGUAAAGAAGCACCGGCUAACUACGUG